CCCAAAACUUUACCAGGAUAUGGGUCAUU
rnacentral:piRNA from 1 species